GGGGCUAAUACCGGAUGUGGCUAUCGGGUCGCAUGAUCUGAUAUCUAAAGGUGCUUCACGGCACUGUUUACAGAUGAGUUUGCGUCCCAUUAGUUAGUUGGUGAGGUAACGGCUCACCAAGACUUUGAUGGGUAGCCGGCCUGAGAGGGUGAACGGCCACAUUGGGACUGAGAUACGGCCCAGACUCCUACGGGAGGCAGCAGUAGGGAAUUUUGCGCAAUGGGCGAAAGCCUGACGCAGCAACGCCGCGUGAGUGAUGACGGCCUUCGGGUUGUAAAGCUCUGUUGGACGGGAAGAAAAGACGGUGUAGGAAAUGGCAUCGUUAUGACGGUACCGUUCGAGGAAGCUCCGGCUAACUACGUGCCAGCAGCCGCGGUAAUACGUAGGGAGCGAGCGUUGUUCGGAAUUACUGGGCGUAAAGGGAGCGUAGGCGGGUUUGUAAGUUAGGCGUUUAAUGCGUGGGCUUAACCCACGUUUGGCGUUUAAUACUGCAUAUCUUGAGUUAGGGAGAGGAUGAUGGAAUUCCAGGUGUAGCGGUGGAAUGCGUAGAUAUCUGGAAGAACACCAACAGCGAAGGCAGUCAUCUGGCCCUUUUACUGACGCUGAAGCUCGAAAGUCGGGGGAGCAAACAGGAUUAGAUACCCUGGUAGUCCCGACCGUAAACUAUGAACACUAGCUGCCGGGGGAGUCAAUCCUUUCGGUGGCGUAGCUAACGCAUUAAGUGUUCCGCCUGGGGAGUACGCCCGCAAGGGUGAAACUCAAAGGAAUUGACGGGGGCCCGCACAAGCGGUGGAGCAUGUGCUUUAAUUCGAUGCAACGCGAAGAACCUUACCCAGGCUUGACAUGGGGGUGUAAGUCCGUAGAAAUAUGGAACCUUCCGCAAGGAACGCCCUACACAGGUGCUGCAUGGUUGUCGUCAGCUCGUGUCGUGAGAUGUUGGGUUAAGUCCCGCAACGAGCGCAACCCUCGCCCUUAGUUGCCAUCAGGUAAAGCUGGGAACUCUAAGGGGACUGCCUAGUUUAACUAGGAGGAAGGUGGGGAUGACGUCAAAUCCUCAUGGCCCUUACGCCUGGGGCUA
rnacentral:rRNA from 1 species